GACGAACGCUGGCGGCGUGCUUAACACAUGCAAGUCGAACGGAAAGGCCCUGCUUUUGUGGGGUGCUCGAGUGGCGAACGGGUGAGUAACACGUGAGUAACCUGCCCUUGACUUUGGGAUAACUUCAGGAAACUGGGGCUAAUACCGGAUAGGAGCUCCUGCUGCAUGGUGGGGGUUGGAAAGUUUCGGCGGUUGGGGAUGGACUCGCGGCUUAUCAGCUUGUUGGUGGGGUAGUGGCUUACCAAGGCUUUGACGGGUAGCCGGCCUGAGAGGGUGACCGGCCACAUUGGGACUGAGAUACGGCCCAGACUCCUACGGGAGGCAGCAGUGGGGAAUAUUGCACAAUGGGCGGAAGCCUGAUGCAGCAACGCCGCGUGCGGGAUGACGGCCUUCGGGUUGUAAACCGCUUUCGCCUGUGACGAAGCGCGAGUGACGGUAAUGAGUAAAGAAGCACCGGCUAACUACGUG
rnacentral:rRNA from 1 species